UGCCAGCUUGUUUGUAGACUACUGUAUCCAGCUCUGCAUGAAAGUAAGCCAAAUCCUUUCCUUUUUCCCUUACAGCAUGCACUUUAGAAUGUAAAUUUACGCUUGUAACGUGUAAUUAGAAGACUGUAUCAUUUUGUGGACUUAGAUAAGAAAGUAAAAUCCUUACUUCUCUGGCAUUAUCAGUACUUCCUUACAUUUUAUAAAGCACAUAUUUCCUUGACUUUAUCCAAUGAACUUCUAAUUAUGUUGUUCCACGAUUAAUUAUGAUUCCGUGAUAGCCAUGAUUCCAUGGCUAGUAUAGAAGUUACAAUUUUUACUUUUUGUUUUUAUGAUUUUCCCCCUGAUGAUUCUUUUGUGACUUUUUAAAUGAUGUCUGCCAACAUGUAAAAAGGGGGAAUUUAUAACAGUGCAUAUUUACAAAAAAGUUGGGAGAUAAAUGUAAAAAAAGUUAGUUCUAUUUUAAAAAAAACUUUAUUAAAUGUAACCAAGGGGUUCUAUUGCGGAGUGUCUGAAUACAAUACUUUGCUUGUUAGAUUCAACUAGUUGAAACCCCUUCGCUCUCCCAAAUACCCAAAAUGCUUUACUAGCUGCCCUCUGGUCUCCCCUUUAUUUUUCUGGCAAACAUUUCUCUCUCCUCUCUCUCUCGAUGAUAGGUAGAUAGAUAGAUAGAUAGAUAGACAGAUAGAUAGAUAGAUAGAGAUAUAUAAUAUCU
rnacentral:lncRNA from 1 species